rnacentral:rRNA from 1 species
CGGAGGAAGGUGUGGAUGACGUCAAGUCAUCAUGCCCCUUACAUCCUGGGCUACACACGUACUACAAUGCUACGGACAAAGGGCAGCAAACUCGCGAGAGCUAGCAAAUCCCAUAAACCGUGGCUCAAUUCAGAUCGUAGGCUGCAACUCGCCUACGUGAAGGAGGAAUCGCUAGUAAUCGCAGGUCAGCAUACUGCGGUGAAUACGUUCCCGGGCCUUGUACACACCGCCCGU